CUGUUAGUAUUUCACAACUCCACUAGAGAAAUGAUGGCCAAGUGCAACUUAACAGUAUUUUUUAACUCUAUACCCCUGGUGUGAAAUGAAUGCAGAUUCAUUUUUCUUUGUUUUUUUCUAAUAUUUAAAUAUAUAUAUAUAUAUAUUACUUGUUUAUAUCAUGUCAGUAGGAAAUCUAGAAAAAAAAAGAAAAAAAGAAAAACCCACCAACAAUAGCUAAUGUCUACCAUCAUAGUCAAAGCAGAAAACUUUGCCUAAGAGAUAACCCUACUGGUAUGAUAUAAAGAUAUUGCAGAGGUGUAAUAUUCUUUGUUUUUAGUGGAUUUGUACUAAUGUGAAAAAUCUGUACUUUGCAUUAUCAUGCUAGGUUAAGAUUGUCCCUCAUCCUCGAAACAGAAUAGUUGUACUGGUUUCUUUCUGGACCCCCAUGAUGCAUGGGUUUACCUGUUUUCAAAUAUAAGCAUUUGAAAAACAUUCUCUGUUUCCAGCAACACUGUCUUAGUGUUGGGGGGAAAGCACUCUGUGAGAAACUAUUUUUACUAAAGUCUCCCCACCUCUAUUCUAAGUCAGCCCUGUUCUUUUGUUCUGGACUGAAAGUCAUCUCCAGGUUGGGCAGGAGGGGAGAGGGUGAGCUGGGGACCUUCACCACACCAGAUGGUGGUGUUUAUCUUUUGACUGCUUACUGGCAUCAAACAGUUGUUCGCCCUACCUUCUGCAAUUCUUGAGAACCUAGCGGCUUAGACUGAGACGCAGCACUACUGUUUCACAAGACACCUAGUGCGUCCACCUUGGUUGGGAUGAAUACCCAGGAAUUGCUGUCAGAGCAAGAGGACCACGGGUACUACUAUUCACAGUGUUGCCUUUGUUUUUUUUUUUGUUUUUGUUUUUUUGUUUUCUUUUUUUGCAUUAUUUUAAUCUACAGAGUAAAUGAUUAUCUAUAUACACACUGGAACCAGUUAAUGCCCUCAGACAAUGUAUAGUUGUCUCAUAAAGCAGGAAAGACAAUGCAGGGGAAACAGGNNNNNNNNNNNNNNNNNNNNNNNNNNNNNGAGGUUCUAGGUGCCACUACAAGUCAAGGCCGGAGACCACUUCUAAACACUCGAUGUUCAAGAGGAAUGCUUUAAUGUGGAGACAGUACCGCCCCUCCCGCCCGCCCCCGGACCUCCCUCUUUUACUUCAUCUUUUCCAUAAUCUUUUCAGUUCACUAUCAAAAGUCCUGGCUCUUCAGAUAUACUUUAAACUAUAAAUAAACGCUGCAUAGUUCUCUGUUCGGCGUGUGGUUUGUGAGUUAUUGCAGGCCGGCCGCGCUCAGUAGGGCGCGAAGAGCACCGGCGCGUGCGCGCUGCGCAUGGGCCCC
rnacentral:lncRNA from 1 species